rnacentral:rRNA from 1 species
AGUUUGAUCCUGGCUCAGGAUGAACGCUAGCUACAGGCUUAACACAUGCAAGUCGAGGGGCAGCAUUGGAGUAGCAAUACUUCAGAUGGCGACCGGCGCACGGGUGAGUAACACGUAUCCAACCUGCCGCUUACUCGGGGAUAGCCUUUCGAAAGAAAGAUUAAUACCCGAUGGUAUAAAGAGUUCGCAUGUUCUCUUUAUUAAAGAAUUUCGGUAAGCGAUGGGGAUGCGUUCCAUUAGAUUGUUGGCGGGGUAACGGCCCACCAAGUCUACGAUGGAUAGGGGUUCUGAGAGGAAGGUCCCCCACAUUGGAACUGAGACACGGUCCAAAUCCUACGGGAGGCAGCAGUGAGGAAUAUUGGUCAAUGGACGAGAGUCUGAACCAGCCAAGUAGCGUGAAGGAUGACUGCCCUAUGGGUUGUAAACUUCUUUUAUAAGGGAAUAAAGUGAGGGACGUGUCCCUUUUUGUAUGUACCUUAUGAAUAAGGAUCGGCUAACUCCGUGCCAGCAGCCGCGGUAAUACGGAGGAUCCAAGCGUUAUCCGGAUUUAUUGGGUUUAAAGGGAGCGUAGGUUGACAUAUAAGUCAGCUGUGAAAGUUUACGGCUCAACCGUGAAAUUGCAGUUGAUACUGUAUGUCUUGAGUGUACAAGAGGUGGGCGGAAUUCGUGGUGUAGCGGUGAAAUGCUUAGAUAUCACGAAGAACUCCAAUUGCGAAGGCAGCUCACUGGGGUACAACUGACACUGAGGCUCGAAAGUGUGGGUAUCAAACAGGAUUAGAUACCCUGGUAGUCCACACAGUAAACGAUGAAUACUCGCUGUUUGCGAUAUACAGUAAGCGGCCAAGCGAAAGCAUUAAGUAUUCCACCUGGGGAGUACGCCGGCAACGGUGAAACUCAAAGGAAUUGACGGGGGCCCGCACAAGCGGAGGAACAUGUGGUUUAAUUCGAUGAUACGCGAGGAACCUUACCCGGGCUUGAAUUGCAGAGGAACAUAGUUGAAAGAUUAUGGCCGCAAGGUCUCUGUGAGGGUGCUGCAUGGUUGUCGUCAGCUCGUGCCGUGAGGCGUCGGCUUAAGUGCCAUAACGAGCGCAACCCUUAUCAUUAGUUACUAACAGGUCAUGCUGAGGACUCUAGUGAGACUGCCGUCGUAAGAUGUGAGGAANGUGGA